rnacentral:rRNA from 1 species
AUUGAACGCUGGCGGCAUGCCUUACACAUGCAAGUCGAACGGUAACGCGGGGCAACCUGGCGACGAGUGGCGAACGGGUGAGUAAUGUAUCGGAACGUGCCCAGUUGUGGGGGAUAACUGCUCGAAAGAGCAGCUAAUACCGCAUACGACCUGAGGGUGAAAGCGGGGGAUCGCAAGACCUCGCGCAAUUGGAGCGGCCGAUAUCAGAUUAGGUAGUUGGUGGGGUAAAGGCUCACCAAGCCGACGAUCUGUAGCUGGUCUGAGAGGACGACCAGCCACACUGGGACUGAGACACGGCCCAGACGCCUACGGGAGGCAGCAGUGGGGAAUUUUGGACAAUGGACGCAAGUCUGAUCCAGCCAUGCCGCGUGCGGGAAGAAGGCCUUCGGGUUGUAAACCGCUUUUGUCAGGGAAGAAAAGCCCCGGGUUAAUACCCUGGGGUCAUGACGGUACCGUAAGAAUAAGCACCGGCUAACUACGUGCCAGCCGCCGCUGUAA